UACAGAGGUCCCAAGCGUUGUUCGGAUUCACUGGGCGUAAAGGGUGCGUAGGCGGUCGGGUAAGUCUGAUGUGAAAUCUCACAGCUUAACUGUGAAACUGCAUUGGAUACUAUCCGGCUCGAGGAAUGGAGGGGAGACUGGAAUACUUGGUGUAGCAGUGAAAUGCGUAGAUAUCAAGUGGAACACCUGUGGCGAAAGCGGCUCACUGGACCGCAACUGACGCUGAGGCGCGAAAGCUAGGGGAGCAAACAGG
rnacentral:rRNA from 1 species